GACGAACGCUGGCGGCGUGCCUAAUACAUGCAAGUCGAGCGAAUCGAUGGGAGCUUGCUCCCUGAGAUUAGCGGCGGACGGGUGAGUAACACGUGGGUAACCUGCCUGUAAGACUGGGAUAACUUCGGGAAACCGGAGCUAAUACCGGAUACGUUCUUUUCUCGCAUGAGGAGAGAUGGAAAGAUGGUUUCGGCUAUCACUUACAGAUGGACCAGCGGCGCAUAAGCUAGUUGGUGAGGUAACGGCUCACCAAGCCGACGAUGCGUAGUCGACCGGAGAGGGAGACCGGCCACACUGGGACUGAGACACGGCCCAGACUCCUACGGGAGGCAGCAGUAGGGAAUCUUCCGCAAUGGACGCAAGUCUGACGGAGCAACGCCGCGUGAGCGAAGAAGGCCUUCGGGUCGUAAAGCUCUGUUGUUAGGGAAGAACAAGUACGAGAGUAACUGCUCGUACCUUGACGGUACCUAACCAGAAAGCCACGGCUAACUACGUGCCAGCCGCCGCCGUAAUAC
rnacentral:rRNA from 1 species